AUUGAACGCUGGCGGCAGGCCUAACACAUGCAAGUCGAGCGGAUGAAGGGAGCUUGCUCCUGGAUUCAGCGGCGGACGGGUGAGUAAUGCCUAGGAAUCUGCCUGGUACUGGGGGAUAACGUCCGGAAACGGGCGCUAAUACCGCAUACGUCCUGAGGGAGAAAGUGGGGGAUCUUCGGACCUCACGCUAUCAGAUGAGCCUAGGUCGGAUUAGCUAGUUGGUGGUGUAAAGGCCUACCAAGGCGACGAUCCGUAACUGGUCUGAGAGGAUGAUCAGUCACACUGGAACUGAGACACGGUCCAGACUCCUACGGGAGGCAGCAGUGGGGAAUAUUGGACAAUGGGCGAAAGCCUGAUCCAGCCAUGCCGCGUGUGUGAAGAAGGUCUUCGGAUUGUAAAGCACUUUAAGUUGGGAGGAAGGGCAGUAAGUUAAUACCUUGCUGUUUUGACGUUACCAACAGAAUAAGCACCGGCUAACUUCGUG
rnacentral:rRNA from 1 species